UCGCUAGUAAUCGCGCAUCAGCCAUGGCGCGGUGAAUACGUUCCCGGGCCUUGUACACACCGCCCGUCAAGCCAUGGGAGCCGGGGCGCCUGAAGUCCGGGACCGCGAGGACCGGCCUAGGGCGAAACUGGUAACUGGGGCUAAGUCGUAACAAGGUAUC
rnacentral:rRNA from 1 species